UACGUAGGUGACCAGCGUUGUCCGGAUUUACCGGGCGUAAAGAGCGCGCAGGCGGUCGUUCAAGUCGAGUGUGAAAGCCCCCGGCUCAACUGGGGAGGGUCAUUCGAUACUGAUCGACUCGAAGGCAGGAGAGGGAAGCGGAAUUCCCGGUGUAGUGGUGAAAUGCGUAGAUAUCGGGAGGAACACCAGUGGCGAAGGCGGCUUCCUGGCCUGUUCUUGACGCUGAGGCGCGAAAGCUAGGGGAGCAAACGGG
rnacentral:rRNA from 1 species